GACGAACGCUGGCGGCGUGCCUAACACAUGCAAGUCGAACGGGAUCCAUGGAGUGCUUGCACUCCGGAAGAUCUAGUGGCGAACGGGUGAGUAACACGUGAGAAACCUGCCCCAGACUCUGGGAUAACCUCGGGAAACCGAAGCUAAUACCGGAUAUUCUCCUUUGGUCGCAUGGCCAGUUGAGGAAAGUUUUUCGGUCUGGGAGGGUCUCGCGGCCUAUCAGCUAGUUGGUGGGGUAACGGCCCACCAAGGCUACGACGGGUAGCUGGUCUGAGAGAACGAUCAGCCACACUGGAACUGAGACACGGUCCAGACUCCUACGGGAGGCAGCAGUGGGGAAUCUUGCGCAAUGGGCGAAAGCCUGACGCAGCAACGCCGCGUGCGGGAUGAAGGCCUUCGGUUGUAAACCGCUUCUAGCAGGGACGGAAAAUAGACGGUACCGUGCAGAAGAAGACCCGGCCGUAACUACGUGCCACGCAGCCGCGGUAACAACGACGAGUA
rnacentral:rRNA from 1 species